rnacentral:rRNA from 1 species
GAUGAACGCUGGCGGCGUGCCUAAUACAUGCAAGUCGAGCGAACAGACGAGGAGCUUGCUCCUCUGACGUUAGCGGCGGACGGGUGAGUAACACGUGGAUAACCUACCUAUAAGACUGGGAUAACUUCGGGAAACCGGAGCUAAUACCGGAUAAUAUAUUGAACCGCAUGGUUCAAUAGUGAAAGACGGUUUUGUUGUCACUUAUAGAUGGAUCCGCGCCUCAUUAGCUAGUUGGUAAGGUAACGGCUUACCAAGGCAACGAUGCGUAGCCGACCUGAGAGGGUGAUCGGCCACACUGGAACUGAGACACGGUCCAGACUCCUACGGGAGGCAGCAGUAGGGAAUCUUCCGCAAUGGGCGAAAGCCUGACGGAGCAACGCCGCGUGAGUGAUGAAGGUCUUCGGAUCGUAAAACUCUGUUAUUAGGGAAGAACAAAUGUGUAAGUAACUAUGCACGUCUUGACGGUACCUAAUCAGAAAGCCACGGCUAACUACGUG